AGUGAAACGAUGCAUCGCCGAUGGUAGUGUGGGGCUUCCCCAUGUGAGAGUAGGUCAUCGUCAAGA
rnacentral:rRNA from 1 species